GAUCGACUCUCUGGAGACGCCCGUAUACCGGGGGCCGAAGGUGCAACAUACGGAUCGUAUGAAUCUCUCAGGCAACAGGACAGAGAAGAAUAU
rfam:Roseburia sp. CAG:182 genomic scaffold, scf247